rnacentral:rRNA from 1 species
AGUGAACGCUGGCGGUAGGCCUAACACAUGCAAGUCGAACGGCAGCACAGUAAGAGCUUGCUCUUACGGGUGGCGAGUGGCGGACGGGUGAGGAAUACAUCGGAAUCUACUUUUUCGUGGGGGAUAACGUAGGGAAACUUACGCUAAUACCGCAUGCGACCUACGGGUGAAAGCAGGGGAUCUUCGGACCUUGCGCGAUUGAAUGAGCCGAUGUCGGAUUAGCUAGUUGGCGGGGUAAAGGCCCACCAAGGCGACGAUCCGUAGCUGGUCUGAGGGGAUGAUCAGCCACACUGGAACUGAGACACGGUCCAGACUCCUACGGGAGGCAGCAGUGGGGAAUAUUGGACAAUGGGCGCAAGCCUGAUCCAGCCAUACCGCGUGGGUGAAGAAGGCCUGCGGGUUGUAAAGCCCUUUUGUUGGGAAAGAAAAGCAGCAGGUUAAUACCCCGCUGUUCUGACGGUACCCAAAGAAUAAGCACCGGCUAACUUCGU